UUAUCGCGAGGAGCUUGGGGUCUCCACUUGUGAAAUCACCAUGACUGUAGUUGGAGGGCCCCUCGUCGAUUUUAAAGGGGACUUCGUUGGGAUGAACUUUUAUGCUAAGGAAGAGACUCCCUUCCUACCGAGUGAUAAAAUUCUGGAUCUCUUGGCACGGUUUAAGACUACACCUCCGCGCUGCUGGGACAAAAGCAGGGCACGAGAGUCUCCUGAAUCUUAAGAGUCUGAUUUAGAAGGUGAGGAAGGCCUGCUCAUUCCCUAAAGACAGUUAAAGUAUGCACUAUCAGCCAAUUCAUCAUCAUCAAUGCUAUUUUUCGAUGAUCAUUUUGGUGUCCUUCCGAGCAGUACACAAUUUUCUUUUAAGCUUGUAC